CAGGCUUGGGGUCUCAGAAGGCAGCGCUCUCAGGGCACCUCCACCAUGGCCUGGGCUCUGCUCCUCCUCAGCCUCCUCUCUCAGGGCACAGGGUCCUGGGCCCAGGCUCCCCUCACUCAGCCUCCCUCAGUGUCUGGGACUCCUGGGUCUUCAGUCACCAUCUCCUGUGCUGGAAGUAGCAAUGACAUUGGGUAUUAUAAUGAUGUCUCCUGGUACCAACAUCGCCCGGGCACGGCCCCUAAACUCCUGAUUUAUGGUGUCAGCUAUCGGCCCUCGGGGAUCCCUGAGCGCUUCUCUGGCUCCAAGUCUGGCAACACGGCCACCCUGAUCAUCGCUGGGCUCCUGGCCGAGGACGAGGCCGAUUAUCACUGUUUCUCCUAUGUGGGCAGCAACACUCUCCACGGUGCUGCGGGCUCCUGGGGAAUUCAACAGAAAAACACUUUGUCGUGA